rnacentral:rRNA from 1 species
AUUGAACGCUGGCGGCAUGCCUUACACAUGCAAGUCGAACGGCAGCACGGGGGCAACCCUGGUGGCGAGUGGCGAACGGGUGAGUAAUACAUCGGAACGUGCCCCGUAGCGGGGGACAACCAGUCGAAAGACUGGCUAAUACCGCAUACGCUCCACGGAGGAAAGCAGGGGAUCGCAAGACCUUGCACUAUGGGAGCGGCCGAUGCCCGAUUAGCUAGUUGGUGAGGUAAAGGCUCACCAAGGCAACGAUCGGUAGCUGGUCUGAGAGGACGACCAGCCACACUGGGACUGAGACACGGCCCAGACUCCUACGGGAGGCAGCAGUGGGGAAUAUUGGACAAUGGGCGCAAGCCUGAUCCAGCGAUGCCGCGUGUGUGAAGAAGGUCUGCGGGUUGUAAAGCACUUUCAGUA